GUUGUGUCACUUCAAUAUAGGCGUUCUAGAAACUGACAGUAGCUGGUUAUUCAAUCUGGGUCGUCUGAAAGUAUACCAGUUGGAGCCAAAAGCUGUUUUAGCUGAUUUAAUCAAGCAUUAUGGAUGUCUGCAUGUGUUUAAUUGAUUUUAGCACUUGGCCUGUGCAACACAUCAUUUCACACUGCCAAGUGAAAAAUGGUGGAGCUACCAAGCUGCUGGCCACCCUGAACGUCCACUGUAUUUGGCCUCAAAGAAGCCAGUUUGUUUUUGAUUGUUUCCGUGAGGUGCCUGGUUACCCAACUUAUGUUCAGCAUCAUCUA
rnacentral:rRNA from 1 species